rnacentral:rRNA from 1 species
GACGAACGCUGGCGGCGUGCUUAACACAUGCAAGUCGAACGGAAAGGCCCUGCUUUUGUGGGGUGCUCGAGUGGCGAACGGGUGAGUAACACGUGAGUAACCUGCCCUUGACUUUGGGAUAACUUCAGGAAACUGGGGCUAAUACCGGAUAGGAGCUCCUGCUGCAUGGUGGGGGUUGGAAAGUUUCGGCGGGUGGGGAUGGACUCGCGGCUUAUCAGCUUGUUGGUGGGGUAGUGGCGUACCAAGGCUUUGGCGGGUAGGCGGCCUGAGAGGGUGACCGGCGACAUUGGGACUGAGAUACGGCCCAGACUGCUACGGGAGGCAGCAGUGGGGAAUAUUGCACAAUGGGCGGAAGCCUGAUGCAGCAACGCCGCGUGCGGGAUGACGGCCUUCGGGUUGUAAACCGCUUUCGCCUGUGACGAAGCGUGAGUGACGGUAAUGGGUAAAGAAGCACCGGCUAACUACGUG